UGGGAAAGCAGCAAGGGAAGAGGCUGGGGAGGGGAGUGGUCAUGCUCCACAGGCACCUGAGAGUCCUUGAGGAAGACCCACCCUCAUUCUACAGAGAAAGGAACUGAGGCUCAGAAAGUUCUGCUGCUUCCGUCAUGCAGUCAACAGUGGCAAAGCAGGAAAUGCGGCUGAGAGCUGGUAGAGAGAGAAAGCGUGCGGGCUGGGACUGAAGGAGUGCUCUGGGGGCCUUUCCAGAAGCCUGCCUGCCUGGGAGAAGCUGUGCAAGAGAGCAGUCAGAGGCUCUGUUCUCAUCCCGGCUCCUACACCCCAGAGUGAUGAAAUAGAAGAUUUAUUAUGUCAGAAUGGAAUGAGAAAUACCUUUGAACAUUAUCUGCUCAACCAGCUCACUCAACAGAUAAGGAAACGAGAUUGGGACACUUCAGUACAAAUACGCCUCGGAUUUCCUGAUGCUCUUCACUGUGUCCACAAGCGUACAUUCACACGCACUGGGGCAUGGGGACCACCAUGAUAGGCAUACUACAAACGUGAA